GCGUCUGUAGCUCAGCUGGAUAGAGCACUGGCCUCCGACGCUAGGUACCGGGGGUUCGAAUCCCUUCGGGCGCA
rnacentral:tRNA from 1 species